rnacentral:rRNA from 1 species
AACGAACGCUGGCGGCAGGCCUAAUACAUGCAAGUCGAACGCUCCGCAAGGGGAGUGGCGCACGGGAGAGUAACGCGUGGGAACCUACCUAUUGGUUCGGGACAACACCGGGAAACUGGUGCUAAUACCGGAUAAGCCCGAGAGGGGAAAGAUUUAUCGCCGAUAGAUGGGCCCGCGUUAGAUUAGCUAGUUGGUGAGGUAACGGCUCACCAAGGCGACGAUCUAUAGCUGGUCUGAGAGGAUGAUCAGCCUCACUGGGACUGAGACACGGCCCAGACUCCUACGGGAGGCAGCAGUAGGGAAUAUUGGACAAUGGGGGCAACCCUGAUCCAGCCAUGCCGCGUGAAUGAUGAAGGCC